rnacentral:rRNA from 1 species
GAGUUUGAUCGUGGCUCAGAUUGAACGCUGGCGGCAGGCUUAACACAUGCAAGUCGAGCGGGGGAGAUUGCUUCGGUAAUUGACCUAGCGGCGGACGGGUGAGUAAUACUUAGGAAUCUGCCUAUUAAUGGGGGACAACAUCUCGAAAGGGAUGCUAAUACCGCAUACGCCCUACGGGGAAAGCAGGGGAUCACUUGUGACCUUGCGUUAAUAGAUGAGCCUAAGUCGGAUUAGCUAGUUGGUGGGUAAAGGCCUACCAAGGCGACGAUCUGUAGCGGGUCUGAGAGGAUGAUCCGCCACACUGGGACUGAGACACGGCCCAGACUCCUACGGGAGGCAGCAGUGGGGAAUAUUGGACAAUGGGGGGAACCCUGAUCCAGCCAUGCGCGUGUGUGAAGAAGGCCUCAUGGUGUAAAGCACUUUAAGCGAGGAGGAGGCUCCUGUAGUUAAUACCUACAGAGAGUGGACGUUACUCGCAGAAUAAGCACCGGCUAACUCUGU